UGUUGGGGGGGGAGGCGCUUAUCCCCCAGAAGGGGCUGAGGGACCCAUAUGUCAGGGAAGAAUGUGUGUGGAGGUGCUGGCCCUCCUGAAGGAAGCUGAAUGGAAGAGAGGACUAAGGAGAGGAGCUGAAAGAGGGAGGGGACAGGAGUCUGUGGGUGGGGAAGGUAUCUGGGCCUCUUGGGAUCCCCUCAUUGGAGAUGGAGAUCUCUCUGCUGGGGGAGCCAGGCUCCCAAGGAGCUGCAGCUUUUCCCAGGGCUAAUGGAGGGGCCGCCUGCCCCCAAAGGACCAGGCUUGAGGGACAGGGCUGCCAUCUGCUCUGUGAGGCCCAGGCUGGAGAGCUUUCCUCCCAAGGCAGCAUCUCAAAGCUAUGAGUUCUCUGUACUUUUGUCAAGUACAACUCAUCAGUAAAGACGCUGAACCAUACAGGACCAAACACGAAUCCCGGGAGCAUGCCACUGGAGACUUCUCUCUAGAGUUAUCGAAGUCCAAGGGAAAAGCAAAAGUCGGGACGACUGGUGAUGGCCCAGGAGGCCAUGGAUGAUCUUGGCAUCUUCGAUGUCUGACCAAGCCACAGGCCUGCUUCAGUCUCCUUCAUUGGGCAGCUUCAUGUUCUCAUCUGCCCAUUCCCAGAAGUAAUAAGAAGCCACUGGAGUUUGAGCAGGGAGAUGACAUAGUCAGGCCUGAACUUUAGGAAGAUCAUUGGGGGAGAUGAAUGGAGAAUGGAAUGGAGUGGGGAGGUACUUGGGGCAAGGAGACCAAUUAGAAGCCUACUGUAAUAGUCCACUCUCGAGGUGAUGGGGACCUACACCAUGAUGGCAGCUAUAUGAGUGGAAAGAAGGACAAAUACAAGAAAUGAUGUGAAGGUAGAAAUGAUAAGACUUAGCAAGAGAUUGAAUAUGGGAGGCGUGGGGUGUGAGUGCGAGUGAGAAAUCAAGGAUGACACCACAGUGGUAACAGAGGAUGGUGGUGGCCUCAUCAGUAAUAGGGAAGUACUCCUUUAUAUCUGAAGGAGAAACUCCUAUUAGUCUUUCUUUCACUGUCAAUUCACAGACAAUGCCCUAUGCUAUAAUUUUAUUAUAUCCUCCUAACCAAGAGCUUAACCACUUUCUAAGAAGAAACUGGAUCAAGAUUUAAGAAGGAAUUCUAAAUUGGUGGGGUGGUGGUAAUUAGGGUAGUCAAGAGAUUAACAGUGUAAAUACCGUAAUUAAUUAAUCUCCUUUAACAGGAUUAUCCAGAUGAGUUAGGAAAAUGAAUCUCUAUGAUGCUUAGGCAUUUUAAGAAACGAUUAUUUUUGUUUUCUUUGGCAAAUUAAAACC